UACGAAGGGGGCUAGCGUUGCUCGGAAUCACUGGGCGUAAAGCGCACGCAGGCGGAUCGUUAAGUCAGGGGUGAAAUCCCGAGGCUCAACCUCGGAACUGCCUUUGAUACUGGCGAUCUUUGAGUCCGGGAGAGGUGAGUGGAACUCCGAGUGUAGAGGUGAAAUUCGUAGAUAUUCGGAAGAACACCAGUGGCGAAGGCGGCUCACUGGCCCGGUACUGACGCUCAGGUGCGAAAGCGUGGGGAGCAAACAGG
rnacentral:rRNA from 1 species